rnacentral:piRNA from 1 species
CCUAGGAAAUUUUGAGGAAGCGUUUGU